GAUGAACGCUGGCGGCGUGCUUAACACAUGCAAGUCGAGCGAAAGGACCAGUACUUGCCGGGGUAGUCGAUAGCGGCGGAGGGGAGUGAAACAUGUGGAAAAUGCACUGAACUUAGGGGGAUGACUGGGGGAAUGGGGAGCAUAUAGGGGAGGACAUUGGGAUGGAUGUGGUUGUGGAGUGAAAUACGGUUUGGCUGUCACUUACGGACGGUCAGGCGCUGCAUUAGCUAGUUGGUAAGGUAACGGCUUACCAAGGCAACGAUGCAUAGCCGACCUGGGAGGGUGAUCGGCCACACUGGAACUGAGACACGGUCCAGACUCCUGCGGGAGGCCGCAGUAGGGAAUCUUGCGCAAUGGGCGAAAGCCUGACAAAGCAACGCCGCGUGAGUGAUGAAGGUCUUCGGAUCGUAGACCUCUGUUAUUAGGGAAGAACAUAUCUGUAAGUAACUGUGCACAUCUUGACGGUACCUAAUCAGAAAGCCCCGGCUAACUACGUG
rnacentral:rRNA from 1 species